rnacentral:rRNA from 1 species
AUUGAACGCUAGCGGGAUGCUUUACACAUGCAAGUCGAACGAGUGGCGGACGGGUGAGUAAUAUAUCGGAACGUGCCCAGUAGCGGGGGAUAACUACUCGAAAGAGUGGCUAAUACCACAUACUAUUGGAGCGGCCGAUAUCGGAUUAGCUAGUUGGUGGGGUAAAGGCUCACCAAGGCAAAGAUCCGUAGCUGGUUUGAGAGGACGACCAGCCACUCUGGGACUGAGACACGGCCCAGACUCCUACGGGAGGCAGCAGUGGGGAAUUUUUGACAAUGGGGGAAACCCUGAUCCAGCCAUCCCGCGUGUAUGAGAAGGCCUUCGGGUUGUAAAGUACUUUCAGUCGGGAGGCGGUACCGACAGAAGAAGCACCGGAUAACAAAGUGCCAGCAGCCGCGGUAAUUC